rnacentral:rRNA from 1 species
UACGAAAGGUCCAAGCGUUACUCGGAAUUACUGGGCGUAAAGCGCGCGUAGGCGGCUUUGUAUGUCGAUUGUGAAAGCCCUGGGCUCAACCUAGGAACUGCAGUCGAAACUGCAAAGCUUGAAUGUUGGAGAGGUUGGGGGAAUACCUAGUGGAGAAGUGAAAUUCGUAGAGAUUAGGUGGAACACCAGAGGCGAAGGCGCCUGACUGGCCAAACAUUGACGCUGAGGCGCGAAAGCGUGGGUAGCAAACAGGAUUAGAUACCCUGGUAGUCCACGCCGUAAACUAUGGACACUCGCCGUUCGAAGCAUUAACCCUUUGAGUGGCAAAGCUAACGCAUUAAGUGUCCCGCCUGGGAAGUACGGUCGCAAGACUAAA